GGAAUUCUCCAGGCAAUCAGCAGCCUAGGAGGAAGCAAGUCCAUCGCACAAGCUCCUCGGCUGAAAUUACAGGGUUGCAAGGAUUUGCCUGUCAGUUCCCAGGCAGUCAGUUCACGGGGGAGCUGAAGUCUCACACACAGCGUUCUUCCUCCUUUUCAACCUUGCCUUGUUUUUGCUUAGAAGACCGGCUGCAGAGAGCCAUCACCCCAUAGAUAAGUAACCGUCAGCUGAGCUUCGGUUACCGGGCCGGUCCUCUGACAGGCGCUGUCCUAGUAACAGGACGUGGAUCUCUGACCGUGGCUAGCGGCAGCUCACGAACAUCCUGUCUUAGCAUAUUUUAAAAUUACUCCCCAGGCAACCCAUGAAGCAAUGGCUGGCUCGCCUCCCGAGCAGCUAACGAGGGAUGGGAGUUAAUCCUGUCCUGGGGGAAAAGCGCGGCUGAACUGAAGCCCGGCCUGCGGGAGUCGGAUCUGCUCGGAGCGCCUCCACCCACCGGGCGGCGCGGACACGCGCGGACCCCAAUGCCGGGCGGUGGGCGCGAGCACGAUCGGGCCCUGGGGGCUGGGGUCUCCUGGGACCCCGCGGCGGCGCGGACACAAGCUGCGGGCAGGGAAGGGGCGGACCGCGCGAGCCCCGCGGCGCGCACGCGCGAGGAGGACGAGGACGCGCUACUCACCUGCCGCCGCGCCCUCGCGAGGCUGCCGGAGCUGCUGCCGCGCCGCCGCAGGCCGCUCGGGCCCGCCUCUGGCGUCACUUCCGGUCGGGUGGGGCGGGCCAGGCGGAAGCGCUCCGGGUCCGGCCCCGCCUUGCGGCCCGCAUGGUUGCCGAGCAACACUGACGGCGGUGCGGGUCCGCCCGGCGAGUUGCACUUGGGGCUUUGGCUGCUCUGCUGCGGUUCCGCGGUCGUCGGCGUGUGAGAGCCUCUUUCGAUGCAGUAAUGGGCCUGCUAGGAAGCUGAGAGGCUUGUGAAAUACCCAGAGGCCAAUGGCCUCCCCGUCAUGGAAUCCAACUGCUUCCACGACCCCAGCAAGAUCCAGCUGCCAGAGGAUGAAGACUGACUGGUUGCUGGAAGGCGCUUAAGAAGCACCAGCUUCUCUACCCUGCCUACUGUUCUGACCGCUUCUUAGAGCACCUAAUUAAAAGGACUUGAAAGCGUGAAGAAAAAAGUUGAGUUGAAAACCAGAUUUUUCGCCAGUAUAAACUAGGUAGGCCUGAUGCAUUCUUUGAGGGAGAAUUUUAAACUAAGAUUUAUUAAUAUCUUAAUGCUGCAUAAAAUCCCACUUAUUAGAGCAGGAAGGGACAGAAAGAAACUGCAGAUAGUGAAGUGAAGUUCUGGGCAAUGUUGAAUUAAAAAAAACAGCAACACAGAUACACACAAUAAGGCAGCAGUGAGUUCAGUCUUACUUAGGAUUUACUGAAAACAGUAACCCUGAAGACAGUAAGCUCUGAACUUCAGAACUGCUCUGAAGAAGUGUGUGAGGAGGUCAGUAUAUAGUAUAUACAUGCUUUUGUUUCCAUUUUUACAUGUUCGCCAUUUUUUUCCCUUUUUUCACCAUUCCUUCAUACAUCUCAGACUGUCUUUUGAGAUAAUUUUCUUUCUGAAAGGCAUCCUUCACACAGGCCUUUAGUGCAGACCUAGAUUUAGUGCCGUUUCGGCUUUAGUUCCCCAGGAAGCAGAGCUUGACAGCAACGCUUUAGUACUGUUUUAUUAAGGGCCUCCUUCCCAGGAAAUUAGGAACGGGAGGAAAGCAGUGAGGCAUGGAAGGAGCAGAGCACAAAUGAGUAGGCGUCACUGCCCCAAGUCAGUGUCAGGCCAUUGCCCCUUCGUGGUGUUACGCUGGGCACCUUGCUUUCCCAGAGGACUGUUCCUGGGCUCUAGGUAGCCAGUGGGUGCUAGCCAGAAGUGUUAUGGGAAAAGUCACAAAUUUGUCUACCAAAUUAUACCUCCAGUUGGUCCAAGUUUAAGUUUCAUCACCUAGAAUAUAACUCCUCUGUGCUGCUGAUUUGCACAUGCAUGGUCAUGUCAGGCCUCAAUGACAAGGGAAGCCUCUCGGUGGGGCAAGAAGUGCAAAUUCCAUGAUGCGGCUACUGAGAGCAGUGGUGAGAUGUUGGUACGGUUUCCCACCGUUGAUUCCAAAGCCUUGGAUGACUUAGGUAUUGGGGACUGCAGUCAGAGGCUUCAAAUAUGACUACUGAAAAAUCCCAUCUUUAUACACACAAGCUGGUCCUCACGUCAGAAGGUAGCAUCUGGGGCUUCCCUAGCAGUCCAGUGGUUAAGAAUCACCUGCCAAUGAAGUGGACAAGGGUUCAAUACUUGAUCUGGGAAGAUUCCACAUUCUGCAGGACAAUUAAACCUGUGCACUGCUGCUACCGAGCUCAUGCUCCAGAGCUGCCGCCUCUGAAGCCCAAGCACCCUAGAGCCAGCGCUCUGCAGCAAGAGAAGCCACCACAAUGAGAAGCCCACAGAUCACAAUUAGAGAGCGGUCUCUGCUCUCCAAAACUAGAGAAAGCUGGCGUACAGCAACCAAGACCCAGUGCAGCUGAAAAAAAAAAAAAAAGGCAUGUUUUUCCCUCUUCUUGAAUCUGCAUUGGCCUUUUGACUUGCUUUGACCAACAGAUAAUGGUAGAAGGAGAGUUCUUGGGGUCUGAGCCUUGAGAGGACCGACAGCUUCCACUCCUUCCCUGGGGACAACCAGCUGCCACAGAAACGUGGGCUAGACUUCAGAAUGUUUUGAUCUCACAUACAGAGAUAAAAGCAGCAUGGAGCACCACAGAGAGGCUGGGCAUGUCAGUGCAGCCUUCUUGGAUCUUUGCUUAGUUUCACACAAGCAAUUUUGUGAACCCAGCCAAACCACCCAGAGCAAGGAGCCCGGGGCUGGCUAAUCCCUGCCUAAGCACCGCAGAAAAAUGAGAAAUAAUGAAUCCAUUUUGCUUUACACUGUUAUGUUUUGAAGUGACUUACUAUACAGAAAUAAAUACUUGACCUUCUUUACAGUAAAAUGGAUUUCUUGAUAUAAAGCAACGCUGUUCAGGAUCCCGUGUCAGUCAGUCAGGCCUCCUGCAGGCCUUCGGGUGUGGGGACACUGCAGUCAGGACAAGCGUGGACAAGAUGUCCCAAUACACGUCUGGAGACAUGGACAGUUCCAGUGGUAGGCGUUACGGUUCCCUACUGUCUGCUGUACGCAUGUGUCAGAGGUUCAUUGUCAGCCUUGGAAGUGGCCAGGCCACUGUGAACUCAGAGGGGGACUACCAGCAAGUAGAAGUCACAGAACCUAACUAAUUCCACGCUCAAUUUAACUUUCACAAAAGUCAGUUGUCAGGCACCAUUUUCACAGGUGUAAAAAAAUAGUCUGAAAGUAGCUAAAUGAUAUUUACAGGUUCANNNNNNNNNNNNNNNCACGGGAUUUAUUUUCCUUUAUUGCAGUUUCGCCUAGGUGGAGCUUGGAAGUUUUAGGCUCCAGAGUAAAAUCAGGGAGGGAAUUAGCCCCGCCCCCUGAGCAGU
rnacentral:lncRNA from 1 species